GACGAACGCUGGCGGCGCGCUUAACACAUGCAAGUCGGACGGAAAGGCCUGCUUUCCCUUGUGGAUUGCGGGUACUCGAGUGGCGAACGGGUGAGUAACACGUGAGUGAUCUGCCCCCAACUUGGGUAUAAGCCUGGGAAACUGGGUCUAAUUCCCGAUAGGACUGCAGGGUGGUGCCUGUGGUGGAAAACGAUUUUCUAGUGGUUGGGGAUGAGCUCGCGGCCUAUCAGCUUGUUGGUGGGGUAAUGGCCUACCAAGGCGGCGACGGGUAGCCGGCCUGGGAUGGUGGACGGCCACAGUGGGACUGAGAUACGGCCCAGACUCCUACGGGAGGCAGCAGUGGGGAAUAUUGCACAAUGGGCGGAAGCCUGAGGCAGCGACGCCGCGUGGGGGAUGACGGCCUUCGGGUUGUAAACUCCUUUCGACCGCGAGGAAGCCACCUGGUUGGAAGGGUGGUGACGGUAGUGGUAGAAGAAGCACCGGCUAACUACGUG
rnacentral:rRNA from 1 species